rnacentral:rRNA from 1 species
CAGUAGCCGCGGGAAUACGAAGGGUGCAAGCGUUACUCGGAAUUACUGGGCGUAAAGCGUGCGUAGGUGGUGGUUUAAGUCCGUUGUGAAAGCCCUGGGCUCAACCUGGGAAUUGCAGUGGAUACUGGAUCACUAGAGUGUGGUAGAGGAUAGUGGAAUUUCCGGUGUAGCAGUGAAAUGCGUAGAGAUCGGAAGGAACAUCUGUGGCGAAGGCGACUAUCUGGGCCAACACUGACACUGAGGCACGAAAGCGUGGGGAGCAAACAGGAUUAGAUACCCGCGUAGUCCCUGUCUCUUAUAC